AAAUUAUUGAUAGGAGAGAGUGAUUUUCACCGCCGAAGGCGCAAACGCCCGUAAACGCUCAGGCAAAAGGACUGUCAAUAUUUU
rnacentral:ncRNA from 2 species